UACUCUCACUACUGUAAGCCGCUCUGGAUAAGAGCGUCUGCUAAAUGACUCAAA
rfam:Salmo salar isolate Sally breed double haploid chromosome ssa26, whole genome shotgun sequence.